rnacentral:rRNA from 1 species
CCCUUAGAUGUCCUGGGCCGCACGCGCGUUACACUGAUGCAUUCAACGAGCUUAUAACCUUGGCCGAGAGGCCUGGGCAAUCUUGUUAACGUGCAUCGUGAUAGGGAUAGAUUAUUGAAAUUAUUAAUCUUGAACGAGGAAUUCCUAGUAAACGCAGAUCAUCAAUCUGCAUUGAUUACGUCCCUGCCCUUUGUACACACCGCCCGUCGCACCUACCGAUUGGAUGGUCCGGUGAAGCCUCGGGAUUGUGGGUCUUGCCGCUUUAUUGUGGCGUGACCGCGAGAACUUGUCUAAACCUUAUCAUCUAGAGGAAGGUGAAGUCGUAACA